CGCGUGAGAAUCUACCCAGGUGCGGGGAGUAGCCCGGAGAAAUACCGGAUUAAUACCGCAUAAUCCCUACGGGGAAAGGAGGCCCUCUUCUUGAAAGGUCUCACACUUGGAUGAGCUCGCGUAAGAUUAGCUAGUUGGUGUGGUAAUGGCGCACCAAGGCGACGAUCUUUAGCUGGUCUGAGAGGAUGAUCAGCCACACUGGGACUGAGACACGGCCCAGACUCCUACGGGAGGCAGCAGUAGGGAAUCUUAGACAAGGGGGGCAACCCUGAUCUAGCCAUGCCGCGUGUGUGAUGAAGG
rnacentral:rRNA from 1 species